CGGAGGGUGCAAGCGUUAAUCGGAAUUAGUGGGCGUAAAGGGUUCGUAGGUGGUUUAUUAAGUUAUUUGUAAAAUCCCUGGGCUUAACCUGGGCAGGUCAGAUAAUACUGGUAGACUCGAGUAUGGGAGAGGGUAGUGGAAUUUCCGGUGUAGCGGUGAAAUGCGUAGAGAUCGGAAGGAACACCAGUGGCGAAGGCGGCUACCUGGCCUAAUACUGACACUGAGGAACGAAAGCGUGGGGAGCAAACAGGAUUAGAUACCCUGGUAGUCCACGCCGUAAACGAUGUCAACUAGCUGUUGGUCAUAUUGAUAUGAUUAGUGGCGCAGCAAACGCGAUAAGUUGACCGCCUGGGGAGUACGGUCGCAAGAUUA
rnacentral:rRNA from 1 species